GGUCUAGAAUCUGGCCGCCUCCAGCCGCCCCCACCCCUUGCCCGGCGCACCGUGUUCCACCGCCCGUGAGUGUGACUGGGAUGAUUCUCUGUGAAGCCCGGAUCCGGUCCCCUUCCCCCCGCCCCACACGGAGUAACAAGGGAGAGGUGGGCAGAGCUGAGCCCAGUGCCCAGAAACGUGGAGUUGGCCAGGGGUGCCAUGCUUCUGGAGGUGGGGAGGGCCCGAAGUAACAGUCUUCCCCCGUCACUCGACAAGUGUGGCCCGCUGGGAGGGAAUCUUGCCCAAGCACUCCUGUUCUCCAGGACCACCUAUGGUUGCAGCCCUCAGUGCCUGCUGCCUGCCUCUUCCCUGGAGGUCAAGGUGUGGUCAGCCUUCUCUCGCUGGUGGGAAGCCACUGCCUUUCCUGCCACACGUUCCUCACCAAGAGGAUCUCCCAGCUCCUGGGUGAUGCUGUCCAGACCUCCUCAACACCCAGCGCCACCACCCACUUCUUUGGCCAGUCUUUGCCGAGGCUGGUCAGUCUUUGCUGAGGCUGGUCUGUCUUUGGCUCCAGGAUGGCCCGCCAUCCAGUUGGAGCCACAGAUGAAAAGCAAUGCCAGUGUCCAGCUGCCCCAUGUGCCCAGAACCAGCAGCUCUGGAACCUCAGCCCCCGAGUACAUUCUUGCAGUGGGAUCAUUUCGGGGGUGGGGCGGGGGGGUGGUGCUUUGAUUGGCAUUUACCAAGGCCCUCUCUUGCACCCUUUUCCUUUGAGUUGUUAGUCUUUUCUUAUUGACUGGUUCAUGUUCUCUAUACAUUAAUGAUAUGAGCCCUGAGUCACAUCUUGGUAAUAUUUUUUGCCCCACUUUGUCACUUGUCUCUUGACUUGGUGGUUUGGGGUUUGUGUUUGACUAGGCAGACGAUCUUAGCGUUUGUGUCAUCAGACUUUCCAGGCUCUUCCUAAUGGUUUCUGGUCGGUUUAUUUUCUUCCAAUUGACUUAGGGUGAUCUUGUCCAUUUAAAGUCAUCGUGUAUAAAUUACCCAUUGCUGAAUAACAAGGGGCUACCCAGGUGAGGCUAGCAGUAAAAACCUGCCUGUCAACAUAGGAGACAUAAGAGACAUGGGUUGGGAAGAUGCCCUGGAGAAGCCAAUGGCAACACACACUAGUACUCUUGCCUGNNNNNNNNNUGGACAGAGGAGCCUGGAGGGCUACAGUCCAUGGGGUUGCAAAUAGUUGCCCCUCGCUUCACCUAGGUCCGGCCCACCCUCCUGGGGGAGCAGGCACCAGGUAUAGUGGGUUGCAGAGGUGCCCCGGGGUGGCGGGGCGGGCCGGGUGUGGUGUGAGGGUGGUCAGUUCCCCCGUCCCCCUGACUCAGAGCAGACAGGACCUGCAGGAUGAGGGGGCCACUCCCCACAGGGUGACCAGACACCCCCUCCCCAGGCUUAGUAGGAAAUAAGGGCCCCGGCGGGCACCUGUGGCUGGACCCCUCCUCUGCUCCGGGGGGGCCAGGUCUCAUGCCGCUUGCCCCCAGCAGAUGGGCUCCUGGUGCCAUCUGCGUGUCCCCCUCUCCAGAAGCCCUCCAGAGGUGGCGCCCUGUCUCGCUCCCUCCCGCCCGACUGGUCGAGGCUCUGGCCCGUGGCCUCUCUUCAGGGCUGUCCUCAGGGUCGUUCCCCCUAUAGGUUCCAGCUUCUCCCCUUGCUGCCCUGCGGGCCUCAUGACCGCCUGGGUGCGAUGUGUUAUCCAGGGAGGGGACAGGACUCCUGGUUACACUCUCCUCUGAGGCCAUUCUCCC
ensembl:lncRNA